rnacentral:tRNA from 1 species
GGGCAGUUAGCUCAGCGGUAGAGCGGCUCGUUUACACCGAGUUGGUCGGGGGUUCGAUCCCCUCACUGCCCACCA